UUUUUUUUUUGUUUUGUCGAUCAUGGCGGAGGAAUUUAGUAGCUUUGAUUUACUCAGAGAUGAUGAUCUCUUCUUCGAUUUCGAUCCUUCAAUCGUCAUACAUGUUCGCUUCAUUUGUGGUAAAGAGUCAUAUUUUACGGCAUGGCCACAUAGUGACAGAGAUCUUUAUUUGUAGAGUGUUGCAGCGACAUGCAGACAUGUAAAAUGUAAAAAGAUUUAUUCUUGCUAAAAGAUAAUGUAACUUUUAAGUUGUAACAAAGUUUCAAUUAUUUUCUAGGACAUAAACAUGAUCCCUUAGAUUUCACGCUAGUGAAGAGACCAUACAUAGAAAGAUGAUAGUUUACACUGCUAUAUAAGCAGCAUAGAAGUCCCCUAUGGAUCUAAGAUUCGGCUAUUCAGAGUUUCUUGUUUUCUUUGAUGUUCAUUGCUUCUUUCUCCAAUAUCUUCUUCUUAGCCUUGGCUUCUCCUUCAAUCUUCUUGCGAGACUUGUUGAACGUUUUCAUGAAAUGGGCCAGCGUUUUGGUCACUGCAGAGAGGGACAAUGGCCAGAUUAGAAAUGAGAACCGCAAAAAUGGGUAAGACAGUAGAAGAACAAACUUGUGAUGGUACCUUCCUCGAUGCUAUUGCGAGCUGGAUACUCAGCUAAGUAGGAAUCUAGAGUUCUUCCCUGUGAGUUACAAAUUAAUUAUAGGAUUUGAAACAUGAUACAAUGUACUCAAAGAUCUAACCGACAAGUUAUAUAGCUCACCGCUUCGUUGUAUAAGUUACAAAGCCACAUUGCUUCAGGCUCAGCUGUAAGAUGAAAAUCAUACACCGCCGCCUAUUACAACAAAAUUCGAGGCAUUGCACCACUCCAAUUAUUUGAAACGAAAAUUAACCACAAUAAAAUAAGAUUUCAGUAGUAGGCAGAGGAGGCAAGUCCUUCACAAGCUCUAAUAUCCCAUCUGAGUCAAUUUCUCGAUCAUCUGAUUCCUCUAUGAUCUACAAGAGCGAGAGAGAGACACUCAACAAAUGUUAUACAUGUAAUGAUAGAUAUAUAUAUAUAUAUAUAUAUGUUUAUGAAGUUUGGUAAUGAAGAUAGAAUUAACACACACAAAAGAAAAACACAUACAGGCAACAGUUCGACAAUAGAAGAAGGCCGGAGAUUGAUGAUAUUGAGAACCUCAGCUUUGGCAACUUUGAAAUCUUUGCACUUAUCUGCGACUAUGUUAAUGCUCUCUCGUGUUUGAGUAUAAGCAGCAGUCUCCACCAAAUAAUCAUAGACCUAAAAUGAUAGCAAAAGCAAUUGACUUCACUUUUAGCCCUCUAUGGCAAAGUCACAUGAGAGAAAAUGAAAAACUUCCAGGCAAGAGGAACCUUGUAUUAUGAUAUAGCAAUUGGAGCUAUAACUCUUGUGGUAUCCUUUGAUGCACCUCUUGAGUUUAACAAGUCAAGCACCUCGAAAUUGGUAAGUGCUCCAGAAUUUGCCUUCACUCUGCGAAACACACGCCAAUUAUUUGAUUACAAAACAGAACUGAAGAUGAAUAGAGUAACACUAAACACAUCAUGAGAUAUGUUAACAGAAUAACAGGGACAUACAUUUUCAUCUAAGCGGUUCUUAAAUUCGUCCAACCAAAAGAAAUCGCUUGUCAAAAUGAAAAGAGACCACUAAUAGACAAUGUCGAAGAGAGUAUUUGUCUGCCACCAGUUUUGCUCCUGAAAACGAAGAAAGUAUUUGUCUGCCAGUCACGAGUGCACUUAAUAAGGAACAAAGAAUAAGUAAAAUUUGGCUUAGGUCGAGGGAUCAAAAUCAUAUUCAUCAUUUUAUGCAUUAUUAUAACACUUGUAAUUUCAUAAAUACAAAUUAAAAUCACAACCUUUAUCCGUAUAUUAUAGAUUGAAGAAUGAUGAAUGUCUUGUAUUACAAACAGAAUACAAAAUGAUGAAUGUCUUGUAUUACAAACAGAAUACAAAUUUAAUCAGAUAGGGAUUGCACAAAAGAUUGAAUUUAGCUUAUGAGGAAUAAAUAAAUUAUCAACAAACAAAGACGAACACCAUUACAAUUAGGAGAAGUUUAAACACUGACUUCAUAGAAAAAUGAUCGAAUCACAGAAGUUCUAAUUCCAUAUUCGACAAUCAAAUCUAAAAAUCAAAACGCAGUUGAGAAACAAUGGUUGUUUGGUGAAAAAUACGCAGAUGAGGUGAACCGUAAACCCUUUUGGUUGGACGAAUUUAAGAACCGUAAACAAAUGUCUUUCAUGAUUUAUUCAAUUAACCGUAAAAAAUUACUAACAAACAUGAUGAGGAAUUUCAGCCCCAUGACAAGAAUCAAAUAAACGAAUACUUUUGAUGAUAAUGAAAACGCAUAGUUAGCUAACCCUAAUACUAAACGAUUAGUUUUUCCUAUGCACGUGAGAAUCCAAGAGUACCUAACUAGUCUCUUACAAAAACAUCGUAGCACAAACAUAUUAAAAAAGACAACAAAUCAUACAAUCCUAUUUAAAAAACCUUCUUUCAACUUCUAACUCAAUUUACUUGGAUUGGGAAUAUAUACUUUGUCUUAUCAUUUUCUAAAGUACGAAACUUAUUCAUUGUCAAGUUUUCCUUUAACACUGAAAUAAUUUUUAUACUCGACAAUAAACGAAAAGGAAGAGGUAUGCAUUAUAUAUGAUUUCGAAUAAAUAACUCAUGAUAAAAAGUAUUUGUUUGGUGAAAAAAAAAAA